GAUGAACGCUGGCGGCGUGCCUAAUACAUGCAAGUCGAGCGAACAGACGAGGAGCUUGCUCCUCUGACGUUAGCGGCGGACGGGUGAGUAACACGUGGAUAACCUACCUAUAAGACUGGGAUAACUUCGGGAAACCGGAGCUAAUACCGGAUAAUAUAUUGAACCGCAUGGUUCAAUAGUGAAAGACGGUUUUGCUGUCACUUAUAGAUGGAUCCGCGCCGCAUUAGCUAGUUGGUAAGGUAACGGCUUACCAAGGCAACGAUGCGUAGCCGACCUGAGAGGGUGAUCGGCCACACUGGAACUGAGACACGGUCCAGACUCCUACGGGAGGCAGCCGUAGGGAAUCUUCCGCAAUGGGCGGAAGCCUGACGGAGCAACGCCGCGUGAGUGAUGAAGGUCUUCGGAUCGUAAAGCUCUGUUAUUAGGGAAGAACAAAUGUGUAAGUAACUAUGCACGUCUUGACGGUACCUAAUCAGAAAGCCACGGCUAACUACGUG
rnacentral:rRNA from 1 species